rnacentral:lncRNA from 10 species
GUGCCCACAGAAAUGGGCUUGAGGAUGGACCACAAGAACUGCUCAAAGCACCUGGACUAGUAACAAGAGGUGACAAGCUGAGGCCUACGAUGGUUUAGGCUGAGGAUACCAUCUGCCUGAGAGAACCCUCCUCUUGGAGUCUUGCUCCUCAAAAUGUGACUUCAGAGCCAGCAGCAUUGGCAUCCCUGGAAGCGUGGUACCAAUGCAUUCUUGGACCUCAACUCAGACCUAUUCAAUCCAACUCUCCAGUUUAGCAAGAUCCCCAGGUGAUUUUUAUGUACAUUAAAGUUUGAAAGCAAUACUCUAAAGAACCAGAAAUGCCAGACCAGGGUCCAACAGGGAAACUGAAUGCCUAAGACAUUCAUUCAUUCAUUUACCCAUUCAAUAAAUACUUAAUAAGCAU